GCAGUAAUAGUACAAUGGUUCGUACUGGAGCUUCCCAAUAACAAAGGAAAGAGCUUCGGAUCCGGGUUCGAUUCCCGGUUACUGCA
rnacentral:tRNA from 1 species